CUGCCCGCCUCAGCCUCCCAAAGUGCUGGGAUUACAGGUGUAAGCCACCGCACCCGGCCAGCUUGAACUUUUAGACAGGUCUUUUAAUAAUUCCCUAGUGCGCUCACAGUUGGAAAGAGGGUUUUUUCUCCUUCUCUGUGGAAUGAGCAGAAUUAGAGAAAGAGGGGAAAAUUUGUCACCCACUUAAAAGUAGUUGAAUAUCAAAAUACUUUAUUUCUGCAUCAUAAAUUUAUAAUUUGAACUGAUCAUUAGCUAAUAUAUAAUACAAGAAAAUGAGGAAGGAAAAGAUGUUAGUAUUUUUCAUUUCCAUAAAGUGCAGAUUUAAUUUUCAAUUGCUUGCCUUAGUAAACAUCGUCUCAUUUCAUGACCUCACCUGCCCUCACUCAAAAAGGGAGGGUAAUUUUUAUUUAACAAAUAUGUAAAACCAAGAAAAUAUGAAAGAUCCAAUAAUGUGUUUUGCAAACAUGUUUCCAGGUAAGGUUUCCAAGGACAUCAGUACUGAGUGAAAAAUAAUCCUCUACAAUCAAUAUGAAUGAAUACACUAACAAGUACAACAUUUAGACCUCCAUGCUUAUUUGGCCAUUUUAAGGUCUCCAGUUAUGAAAAAGGUACAUAACUGAACGAACAGCUUGCCUUGACGUGGCCAAAUUACUUGCACCGAAGUUGCUGGAAGCCUUUCUCUGUUUUGGCCCCUUUAAGAAGUUAAUUCUCAUAUUCCCUUAGCAAUAAUAUAAGGUCACUGUUUCAGUCCUACACACUUUUAUAGUCAAUGGGCUUCCUGGAUUACCACAUAAAGACUGGCACCCUUUUCAAAAGAAUAUUGCUAACAGGGUUAAAUGAGUGCUAAUGGCUGAACGCUUGCCAAAUGCUUCCUUCUGCGAUAGUAUAAAUAUGCAUUAUUAAAGUUGUCUAAUCAAGUAUAAAAUAUAUGCAAAACUCUCAUAAUAAAGGCAAAAUGCUCAAAGGCCAGGAAAAACCUUUUUUUUUUUUUUUUUUUUUUUUUUUUUUUAACUUUUACAAGAAAGUGCAACUGCAUGGUCUCUUGAAUGAUCUUCUAGACAAUUCUGCAGAAAACUUAGCAGUUUGGCUCAGAAAGUAGAGUUCCUCAGGAGGAAUUAAAGUUCUUCCUAGAAGAAUACAAAGUGGGCCGGGCGCGUGACAUUUCAGGCAGCUUUCUGAAAGUAAACCAUUAGCCUAUGACUACACAGUGAGACAAACUGGAACAUGUCAUAAUGAAGGCUUUCGCAUUUGUAGUGGUGCACUUUUUUGCUCUUACCCCGGGACCUCUAGCCGUUUUGUAAUGUUAUAUAAAGGAGUUACAGCACUUUGUCCAGCACUGAAGCAGGCAGGAAAUUAAUCAGCCAAGAGAAAAUCAGAAGCGUGUUCACGUGUUUCAAUGUUUUUCACGUCAAAGCUCAAAACUUGCAAAUAAAUCAUU